CGGCGGCGCGGCACCCCUUAACGGGGGCGCCGCAGCCCUGCCUCUCCGGAGGUUCGGGGCGCCCGCCGGAGGUACGAAACUCUGUAUUAUAGUGGCAUCUCUGAGUAUAAAACAAAUAAGUUAAAACUUUCAACAACGGAUCUCUUGGUUCUGGCAUCGAUGAAGAACGCAGCGAAAUGCGAUAAGUAAUGUGAAUUGCAGAAUUCAGUGAAUCAUCGAAUCUUUGAACGCACAUUGCGCCCGGUAGUACUCUACCGGGCAUGCCUGUUCGAGCGUCAUUUCAACCCUCAAGCCCUGCUUGGUGUUGGGGCCCUACGGCUGCCGUAGGCCCUGAAAGGAAGUGGCGGGCUCGCUACAACUCCGAGCGUAGUAAUUCAUUAUCUCGCUAGGGAGGUUGCGGCGUGCUCCUGCCGUUAAAGACCCAUCUUUAACCAAGGUUGACCUCGGAUCAGGUAGGAAUACCCGCUGAACUUAAGCAUAUCAAUAAGCGGAGGAAAAGAAACCAACAGGGAUUGCCCUAGUAACGGCGAGUGAAGCGGCAACAGCUCAAAUUUGAAAUCUGGCUUCGGCCCGAGUUGUAAUUUGUAGAGGAUGCUUUUGGUGAGGUGCCUUCUGAGUUCCCUGGAACGGGACGCCAGAGAGGGUGAGAGCCCCGUAUAGUCGGCCGCCGAUCCUUUGUAAAGCUCCUUCGACGAGUCGAGUAGUUUGGGAAUGCUGCUCAAAAUGGGAGGUAUAUCUCUUCUAAAGCUAAAUAUAGGCCAGAGACCGAUAGCGCACAAGUAGAGUGAUCGAAAGAUGAAAAGCACUUUGAAAAGAGGGUUAAAUAGCACGUGAAAUUGUUGAAAGGGAAGCGCUUGUGACCAGACUUGUGCCGGGCUGAUCAUCCAGUGUUCUCACUGGUGCACUCGACCCGGCUCAGGCCAGCGUCGGUUUUCGUGGGGGGAUAAAAGCUUCGGGAACGUGGCACCUUCGGGUGUGUUAUAGCCCGUUGCUUAAUACCUCCGUGGAGACCGAGGU
rnacentral:rRNA from 1 species